UACGAAGGGUGCAAACGUUGCUCGGAAUUAUUGGGCGUAAAGCGCACGUAGGCGGCGCUGCAAGUCCCAUGUGAAAGCCCACGGCUUAACCGUGGAAGUGCAUGGGAAACUGCAGUGCUUGAGUACUUAAGAGGAUCGCGGAAUUCCCGGUGUAGAGGUGAAAUUCGUAGAUAUUCGCAAGAACACCAGUGGCGAAGGCGGCUCACUGGCCCGAUACUGACGCUGAGGCACGAAAGCGUGGGGAGCAAACAGG
rnacentral:rRNA from 1 species